CAAUCAUUCAGCGCACCUUUAUGACUGUAGGAUGACAAUCUUCAGAUUAUUUACAAGCCCAGUUAAUAUGCAGAGGACUUUCGGUUCUGUGUCCAUCCUUGCAUGGGCUUGGAAACCCUGCUCUGACUACUCUCUGGUUGACCUAGAUUGGCUGAGAACUCACUAUUGGUCCUGGUUAUGGACCUUUGCUGCCUCUGAACAUGACAGGCAUUAGUCCAUCUAGUAAGCGCUUCAACAUGUUUCUUGCUUUCGAUGCCUCCAGCCACAGAGAGACUCAAGUUGGUGCUCAGCUUGAAUAGCGCCACCUCCUUCUCAGCCUAUCCUCAUCCUUUUCCUUAGGAAAUGCUGACUAGUGAAUUUGGCGUCCAUGGCUUGAACAGAAAAAAAAGCCAUAGUUGUCACUGUUGAUUAGGGGGAGAAAACACAGCCACAGAUUGAGAACUUGUGACCAUCCAGAUAUUGAUGAAUUGCGGCUCCCACCCUUGACACUCUCCCUUGACUCUGCUGGGUAAGGCUAAUCAAAACUGCAAUUUGGUGACAUCUAGAGUGCCACAUGCUUCACCUUGGACCACUUAAUUAAAACCAGAAUACUUGUUUCUCCGUUCUUAUGACCCUUCCUAAGUCUUGAUGAAACCUUCACUGCCAAGGGGGCUUAGACAUCCUAACCCAGCCAUAUCAGCCAUC